rnacentral:rRNA from 1 species
CCUACGGGAGGCAGCAGUAAGGAAUAUUGGUCAAUGGAGGCAACUCUGAACCAGCCAUGCCGCGUGCAGGAAGACUGCCCUAUGGGUUGUAAACUGCUUUUAUCCGGGAAUAAACCUACUUACGUGUAAGUAGCUGAAUGUACCGGAAGAAUAAGGAUCGGCUAACUCCGCGCCAGCAGCCGCGGUAAUACGGAGGAUCCAAGCGUUAUCCGGAUUUAUUGGGUUUAAAGGGUGCGUAGGCGGCCUGUUAAGUCAGGGGUGAAAGACGGUAGCUCAACUAUCGCAGUGCCCUUGAUACUGAUGGGCUUGAAUGGACUAGAGGUAGGCGGAAUGAGACAAGUAGCGGUGAAAUGCAUAGAUAUGUCUCAGAACACCGAUUGCGAAGGCAGCUUACUAUGGUCUUAUUGACGCUGAGGCACGAAAGCGUGGGGAUCAAACAGGAUUAGAUACCCUGGUAGUCCACGCCCUAAACGAUGAACACUCGCUGUUGGCGAUACACAGUCAGCGGCUAAGCGAAAGCGUUAAAGUGUUCCACCUGGGGAGUACGCCCGCAAGGGUGAAACGUCAAAGAGUAGUACGGNGNGAGAGAGCGACGACGACGACGAGGAGGGAGGNG